GGCUUUGGUGGUUAAAGGGAAAAACCGCGCCGGGCCAAGUGCGGCGAAGGGACGUCUCUCGCCCAAGUUCAGAGGAUCACAACUUGUAUGAAGGCCCAGAAUUUCUAACAGCACGCUUGAUCUGCAGCCUGCAGCGCCUGAACCAAUGUUCACAGAUGAUGCUGAUGUUUUCAGCGAUGGUGACUAUAAGAAUAUUAUGCAGACAAGAAACAGAGCAGCAGGGUUCCGAGUGGAUGGUUUUCCUCCAUAAACACUGUCUACAUAUGGAACGGUACAGCAUAUAUGAAA